AGAAUGACUGGAACAGAUGUAUUUCGGUUUUAAGAUACAAAACCAUGCAUCUGGAAAUGAUUUUGUAUCAGUAAACCGGAAUCUAUCCGUGACAAACUCACCACCA